UACGUAGGUGACAAGCGUUGUCCGGAUUUACUGGGCGUAAAGCGCGCGUAGGUGGUCAUGUAAGUCCGCUGUGAAAGUCAAAGGCUCAACCUUUGAAAGCCGGUGGAUACUGCAUGACUAGAGUACGGAAGAGGCGAGUGGAAUUCCUGGUGUAGCGGUGGAAUGCGCAGAUAUCAGGAGGAACACCAAUAGCGAAGGCAGCUCGCUGGGACGUUACUGACACUGAGGCGCGAAAGCGUGGGGAGCGAACAGG
rnacentral:rRNA from 1 species